rnacentral:rRNA from 1 species
GAUGAACGCUGGCGGCGUGCCUAAUACAUGCAAGUCGAGCGAACGGACGAGAAGCUUGCUUCUCUGAUGCUAGCGGCGGACGGGUGAGUAACACGUGGAUAACCUACCUAUAAGACUGGGAUAACUUCGGGAAACCGGAGCUAAUACCGGAUAAUAUUUUGAACCGCAUGGUUCAAAAGUGAAAGACGGUCUUGCUGUCACUUAUAGAUGGAUCCGCGCUGCAUUAGCUAGUUGGUAAGGUAGCGGCUUACCAAGGCAACGAUGCAUAGCCGACCUGAGAGGGUGAUCGGCCACACUGGAACUGAGACACGGUCCAGACUCCUACGGGAGGCAGCAGUAGGGAAUCUUCCGCAAUGGGCGAAAGCCUGACGGAGCAACGCCGCGUGAGUGAUGAAGGUCUUCGGAUCGUAAAACUCUGUUAUUAGGGAAGAACAUAUGUGUAAGUAACUGUGCACAUCUUGACGGUACCUAAUCAGAAAGCCACGGCUAACUACGUG